ACAAACAAAGCUUCUAUUACACAAGACAGAGAGAGACAUAAUUAUAGACCUUGCAGGCAUCCAUCCUUGAAAAUAAAUCAUUACAGAGGCCUGUUAUUUUGCUGCUUUCUUUUUUCAUAAUCUAUGGCUUUCAUCAAGCUUUUCAACAGGUGCAUGGAUUACAUUUGCAGCUUGAUCCACAGCUGCAUCCAUGUCCUGAUUCAGUAGUGCCCAUCUCUGGUCCCUCAAAGGUCCUGCAAUAAUAAAAGUUAUUAUUAAAAACAUCAAAAUAUAUAUAUAUUUUUUGCAAUAAAAUUUCGGUUACUAUGAUUUAGAUUUUGAAUUGAUCUCAAAUUGUGUUGAGGGAUUUUCGACUUCUUUAAAAGAAGUUAAGAGUGUCGAAGUUAGAGUGUCAUCUACUGGAAUAUCAGUGAUCCCUUAACACUUCUUCUAUUGUUUCCAAUGAGGAUUUUGUCUUUUGACUCUAUUAAAAGUUUUAAUUAGGAGUGUAAAUAGGACACCGGUGAACAUGACUUAUUUGAGUUCGACUAGAAAGAAACUCAAUUUGAUUCAGUAAUUAUCAUGCCAAGCUUGAGUUAUCAAUCAAAUUAAUAAAUAAAAUUACUUAGGAACGAACUUAAUCGAGCUCAAGUUUGAGCUUUAAUAUAAAAAUUGGUUAACGAACUUAAUUGAGUUCAAAUAACUCAAUUAUAUCUUGAAUCAAGCUCAAACUUAAGAAUUAAUCUUUGAGUCAAGCUCAAUUCAAAUAACAAGCAUCAAAUUUUGAGUGGAGCACAAGUUUACCGCUAUUUAAGCUCGACUUAGCUCAAUUACACUCUUAGGUUGAGUGCUCAAAUAGUCAAAAGGCGAAACCAUGCCAAUCUAACGAGUUUGCGCUGAGCAAAGCUCCAUCCUCUCACCUAUAACUUAUAGGCCAAGAGAGCAUGGUACAAAGGACCAAUUUAAAAUCCAAACAAUUGUUUGGGGCCGCUCGGUGCAAUUAACUCAUAAAAUUUUGAAUUUAAAUUUUAAUUCGAAACUAACAUCUUCACUGGCGCAACUCCGGAGAUGAUGGUCUGAGUGCUGGUUGUCUUCUCCGAGUAUCCAAGGUUAAGGUUCAUUCUGCAACAAUCCAAACCCGAAAUUCAACAUCGAAAAACAAAUAAAUUCAGAAUUAAUCCGAUCCGUUUCGUUCAAGAUCGAUUCAUUUAACGAUUUAACCAAAGAAACCAAUAAUUACAAAGUAACUUACGAGCAGUUCUCACCGCAAUUGCAGCCAGUCCGCAGCUGCAGCUAGAUCCGCAAUUGCAACCUGAAGACAUUUUUUUUUUCUCGAGAAAGUGAAGGAAAGAAUUCAAUAGACAAACACGAAAGCUCAAAAAGUCUAUGGAUGAGCUUUGAGACGGAAAAUGGAUCGGUACUUAUAGUGGAUUUCAAGUGAGGGAGGGUGAAUAUCAACCGUACAAGUGGCAUAAUCUCGGUUGAUUUUCGUCUUUGGAAUUGUACAGGUGCAUCGGCCCUUUCCCUUGUUAGAAAUUAUUAUAAUUUUAUCAUUAAAAAAAAGAUUUUUUAUUUAAUCAAAAAAAUUAAUUAAUUAAUUAAAUUAUCCUUUUUGAGAAAGUCAAAUUUUGAAAAAAUUUUAGAUAUUUUAAAUAUUUUUCAUACAUAUUACAUACAUAUAAAUAUAUCUAAAUUACAUACAUGUAAAAUAUUUAUAUAAAAUAUUAAAUUUAAAAUUAUUAAUUACGACGAAUCUACAUUGAUAUAAAUUGGAACCUAUCAAAACGUAUUAAUAUGAUAAAUAAUGAUCGAAAUUCACACCCAUUCGAAAAUAAAAAUUGAGUGAUUUUUAUUUUCUAAAUUUCAUAAUUUAAAUAUUAUUAAUAUUGACAUUUUUAUUAAAUUUAUUUAUGUGAUAUUUUAAAAAUAAAAAUAAAAAUACAUUAACCUUUAUGCCAUCAAAAAUCAAGAUUUGUUGUCUUAGUCGACUGUUUUUUUUAAAUAAUAUUGUGCUGGAUUUUUUUGAAUAAUCCAGUGAUUUAAAUAAAAACUUUUAAAUAGUCUAGUAAUUAUUUUGUAAUAUUUUAAAAUUAAGUGAUCAAAACGUAAAUAUACUAAUAGUUUAGUGACACUGGGUAUUAGUUUAACCAAAAAUUAAAAUAAAGUUUUGAGAAAUUAAAUCAAUUAUUAGUGUGUAUAUAUAUGAGAGAGAUCCACUUCCACAGUGUAAAAAUUAAAUUAAUUUUACACACUUUCGUAAAUAUUUAUAUAAAUUGUUAAAAUAUUAAUUAUUUAAAUAGUUACAAAAGUAUGUAAAAUUAUUUUAGUUUUUACGCUAUGCAAGUGGAUCCUUCUCUAUAUAUGAAUUUUAUAGUAAUAGAAAUACAUGUCAGACCGAAAUAGAAUUUGUAACUUGCUAUCUUCUUGCAUAGCGGGCAACAAUUUACCUCUAUGAAAAAGGUGAUUCAUUCGGAUCCGUGAAAAUAAUAUUAUUGAGAGAGAUAGUCACAAAUCUCAAAUAGGGAUCAUAAAACGGACAGAAAUUAAAAAAAAAACAUAAAAGUAAUGAAAGAGGCCAUAGAUUUUCAGACAAAGAUUUGAUACAAACCAAGAGCAGCAAUCGAUAUAUAUUUUUAUAAGAUUUUAACAACAGAUAAAACCAUAAACCAAGUCACCAUGAAUGAGCAGCAAAAAAUCCUUUGGACAAAAGGAAAAUUUGCUCCCAACCAACUGGCUUAUACAUUAUUUUCACCACAAACAAAGCUUCUAUUACACAAGACACAGACAGAGACAUAAUUAUAGUCAUAGACCUUGCAGGCAUUCAUCCUUGAAAAUAAAUCAUUACAGAGGCCUGUUAUUUUGCUGCUUUCUUUUUUCAUAAUCUAGGGCUUUCAUCAAGCUUUUCAACAGUUGCAUGGAUCACAAGAGCAGUUUGAUCCACACUUGCAUCCAUGUCCUGAUUCAGUAGUGCUCAUCUCUGGUCCCUCAAAGGUCCUGCAAUAAUAAAAGUUAUUAUUAAAACCAUCAAAAUAAAUAUAUAUAUUGCAAUAAAAUUUCGGUUACUAUGAUUUGUAUUCUGAAUUGAUCUCAAAUUUCAAAACGUUCUUUUUUUUUAAAUAUUGAAAUUGUGUCGAUUAGAUAUUUUCGUUAAUCUAAUCAUUUGGUUUGAAUGUUAAAAUGUAAAUUUAAAUCUGAAACAAGUGUCUAAUUUUUUGAAGUGUUAGAAAGAUAAUCUCUACUAUCUUUUUUUUUAAUAAGUUAAUCAUAUGUCUUUAUAAUUUGAUAACGUGUUUUUACAUAUGUUCUACACUAUAUCCAAAUAAAUGUUUAAAAUUUAAAUUAAUGCCUAAGUCGAUGGAACAACUCGAUAACGAAUUUAUAGUUAAGGAGUAUGUUGAGGAAUUUUCAAUCAUCUACUGGAAUAUCAGUGUAUCCCUUAACACGUCUUGUAUUGUUUCCAAUGGGGAUUUUGUCUUUUGACUUUAUUGAGAAUUUGAAUUAGGAGUACAAAUGAGACACCGGUGAACAUGACUUAUUUGAAUUCGACUAAAAGGAAACUCAAUUUGAUUCAGUAGUUAUCAUGCCAAGCUCGAGUUAUCAAUCAAACUAGUAAAUGAAAUUACUUAUGAACGAGCUUAAUCUAGCUCAAGUUUGAGAUUUAAUAUAAAAAUUGGUAAACGAACUUAAUUGAGUUCGAAUAACUCAAUUAUGUCUUGAAUCGAGCUCGAACUUAAGAAUUAAUCUUCGAGUCAAGCUCAAUUCAAAUAACAAGCAUCAAAUUUUGAGUGGAGCACAAGUUUACCGCUAUUUAAGCUCGACUUAGCUCACUUACACUCUUAGUUUGAGUGCUCACAUAGUCAAAAAGGCGAAACCAUGCCAAUCUAACGAGUUUGCGCUGAGCAAAGCUCCAUCCUCUGACCUAUAACUUAUAGGCCGAGAGAGCAUGGUACCAAGGACCAAUUUAAAAUCCAAACAAUUUUUUGGGACCGCUCGUUGCAAUUAACUCAUAAAAAUUUGAAUUUAAAUUUUAGUUCGAAACUAACAUCUUCACUGGCGCAACUCCGGAGAUGAUGGUCUGAGUGCUGGUUGUCUUCUCCGAGUAUCCAAGGUUAAGGUUCCUGCUGCAUCUGCAACAAUCCAAACCCGAAAUUCAACAUCGAAAAACAAAUAAAUUCAGAAUUAAUCCGAUCCGUUUCGUUCAAGAUCGAUUCAUUUAACGAUUUAACCAAAGAAACCAAUAAUUACAAAGUAACUUACGAGCAGCUGUCGCCGCAGCUGCAGCUAGAUCCGCAAUUGCAACCUGAAGACAUUUUUUUUUUCUCGAGAAAGUGAAGGAAAGAAUUCAAUAGACAAACACGAAAGCUCAAAAAGUCUAGGAUAGUUUUGAGACGGAAAAUGGAUCGGUACUUAUAGUGGAUUUCAAGUGAAGGAGGGUAAAUAUCAACCGUACAAGUGGCAUAAUCUCGGUUGAUUUGCGUCUUUGGAAUUGUACAGGUGCAUCGGCCCUUUCCCUUGUUAGAAAUUAUUAUAAUUUUAUCAUUAAAAAAAGAUUUUUUAUUUAAUCAAAAAAAUUAAUUAAUUAAUUAAAUUAUCCUUUUUGAGAAAGCCAAAUUUUGUAAAAAAUUUAUAUAUUUUAAAUAUUUUUCAUAUAUAUUACAUACAUAUAAAUAUAUCUAAAUUACAUACAUGUAAAAUAUUUAUAUAAAAUAUUAAAUUUAAAAUUAUUAAUUACGACGAAUCUACAUUGAUAUAAUAAAUAAUUAUCGAAAUUCACAUCCGUUCGAAAUUUAAAAAUAAGUGAUUUUUUACUUUCUAAAUUUUAUAAUUUAAAUAUUAUUAUUAAUAUUAGUAUUUUUAUUAAAUUUAUUUAUGUGAUAUUUUAAAAAUAAAAAUAAAAAAAUGCAUUAUCCUUUAUGCCCAUCAAAAACCAAGAUUUGUUGUCUUAGUCGACUGUUUUUUUAAAUAAUAUUGGGUCACAAUCAAUUAAGAAAGUGAACCAAUAAGUGAAUAAAUGUCAUUUUCACACGUAAAUUAAUUUUUGCCAUUAAAAUUUUAAAUUUAAUUCAACAACUAUGGUAACAUCGAAACGAAGUGAAGGAUUAGAAUACUGAUGAAAAUAAAUGAGGGAAAUAAAACAAAGUAAAUUGAUUAAAUAAAUAGAUAGCGAUAAAAAGGCAUGAAUCAUGCAACCUUGGAAAUAUUCUCCUAAUUUGUAAUUAUAAGAUGAUAUAGACUAUAUUUUUGGGUUAAAUUAUGCAACCAGCAACAAUGAAAAUGAAAAAAAAUUGGAUAUAAAUAUUUAUGUAGAAAAAUUCAUUCGAAGAGGAUAAAAGAUUUAAGAUAAAAGAAACUUCGCUAAAACGAUAAAAUUUAAAAGAGGAGUACAAGAUGGAAAACUAAACAAACCCGAAAUCAAAAUAAUAAAAAAGAUUUCCGAAAUUCCCACAAAACUAUUGCUAAAAGUCCUAUUAGAAUAUUCUAGAGUUAUUAGAGUUCAACUUGAAAAGGAUAUCAGAGUUUAACUAGGAGAAGAAAUUUGGUUUAGUGAGAAACACAUCACCACGUUGUGACGUCCUUUGGGACGUGACAAUUUUUCUCGUCAGGACAUCGACUCUUCCUCAUCCUAACAUCGGCUUUGUUUCAUCCGAAAUGCAAAACACACUCCACAAAUAUAUACACAUAUAUUUUUUAAUAUAUUAAAAAUAUAAUCUUGUGAUGUGAAAUCAAAAUUUAAUAAUUUAAUAUAAAAAUUAUACAUAACUUUUGUAUUGAAGUUUUGCACUAAGAAAUAUAUAAAUAUAUUUAUAAAAUAUUUAAAUCGUCAUCAUUAGUCGAUUGAAUCUUAGCUCGAUUGACAUGAACAUUGUUACUAAUACAAGAGGACAUGAGUUCAAGUGCAUUGAAACGUAUUAUUCUCCUAUUUAUAGAUGAGUAGUUUCAGAUAUUAUUUCUAAGAGAGCAGAUAUCAUCAAAGCAUAUAUUGAAAUUGUUCAAAACAUUAUCAUCAUUAAGUUUUAAUACCUAAAUUACCCCCAACUAAUUUUUUAUAAUGCUUAAACUACCCCUAUUUACUUCUUAUGGGUCUACAAAGAGUUGGUUUAAUUUUAUAUAGAUUAUUUACAUAUAGUAUCAUUGGAUGAAUCUAAGAAUUUGUUUGUUUUCUUCAAAAUUAUUUUUUUUACAGAAAAAGCAAUCAUCAAAGAUUAAACUAUAAUCAUUUUAUGAGUGGCAUCAUUGUUAAUGAUGUCAAUCCAUAGCCCUCAGCCUUUUUUUAUAUAAUUGUUAAUGGUGUUUUGAUGGUUAUAUUUUUAUAAUAAUUACUUUCGAUUUUCUCUAAUAAUCAUAGAUUAUAAAGAUAAACUAAUACAAUGAUAAAAUUGUAUUUUUUUCUUUCUCAAAGUAUCUACCAGAACAAGCUCAGUAAUUAAUCUUCCGCAUUCUGUAGGCCCAUUAAAGGGUAGAACAAUAAAUUCGUGAUAUCAACACAAUAUGCUUUAACAAUAAUAUUUUUUCAUCAACGCAUAUAUCUCUAAAAAUAAAAUUAAAAAAAUCGACUAAAAUAAUUUCUAAAAUAUCAUCCAAAGCAGGAUUCUAAUCAACACCUAAUGUUUUCUAUAUUGAGUGAGCUUGAAUUUUCGUCACCAUUGACAAGCAUUUUAAGACCAGCUUUUACCUCUGAUAUUCCUUCCUCUAGAACUGCACAUACACGAUAUAUAGGAACACCUUCGACCCUUUUCUCGAGCUCUUGAAACACGUCUUCAGCCCCGGUCUCAUCAAUUUUAUUCGCCACGACCAAUGAUGGUCUAUUUGAGAGACCUUCCUGAUGGUGCUCGAGCUCCAAGACUAAAUCUUUCAGUUGUUCCCAUGGUGGAAUUCCUUCCCUACCAUCUAAUGCGGCGGCCAAGUCUACAACGUAUGCCAAAACCUUUGUACGUUCUAUGUGGCGGAGGAAGCAUGUCCGAGUCCACGAUUCUGGUGAGCACCCUUUAUUAAUCCUGGAAUAUCAGCCACCGUAAUUGACAAGUCGUCAAAGUUCAAAUUCCCUAAAUUAGGCCUUACAGUCGUGAACGCAUAGUGGCCUAUUGCAGGCUUAGCUCGAGAUAUUGCCCCUAAAAGUGUACUUUUACCAGCAUUGGGCAUCCCCACAAGGCCUACAUCAGCAAUGCUCUUAAGUUCUAGGACAAGAACAGCUUCAGAACCCAGCAAACCAGUACGAAGGGAGGAUCGAUCAUCAUUUGAUGCUUCAUCCUCGAUUGAAUUAACCCUCGGGACUUCACCCUUUGUCAUCUUAGGCGUCAUCGAAACAUUUGGAUAACAUACAUACCUAAACCACCUUCCCCUCCGUAAGCAACAAUCAUCCGUUGACCUUCUUCCGUUAAUUCCGCCACAUUAUACCUGAUUUCUUCCGUAGGUUCUGAUUGAGGCCCGGUUGCUUGGUUCAUGCCACUUGAUUGGUCCACAGUUAUUUCAGUACAAUACGAUAAGUGACCAGCAACAUGUGUCGAUUUUACUUUCUCAGCCAUACUUGUGUUCUUUGAGGAAGGUAGCUGGUCAACUUCAGACUGGUCCGUAGAGAGUGAACCAGGGAGUUCCCAAGGAUCCAAAUCGGCUGAAGAACAAUGUUCAACCAUGGACGUAUUUCACCCUUUGUCAGAUGAAUUACAGUACCAAUAGGCACUUGGAGAAUCUAUCGCACAAUGAGUAUCUCAAAAUCCCAUUUGAUUCAAUCAAACACGAGUGAAUAACACGAAGUUCAAAGUAAAGAAAGGAGCUCCAAAGUAUUAACCUUGUCUUCUCCUCGAGUUACUAUCUUGUUCUUCGAGGUUCCAUGUCCACCUCUACCUGCAUUCUACAGAGAAUCAUAAGGUAUCACACCGUUCACGGUUGGGGAAAGGUGUUGAACAAAGAAAAGAGAGAAGAUAACAUACGACAUGAUUUUGCAGGCCACUGAAGUCCUAAACUGCAGUGGAACAUUCUAGGAUCACAUCACCACCUCUUCCACCAUUCCCACCUACAAGAUAAUGAUAAUGAUAAUGAUAACCCCACGAUUAAUUAUUUCAUUUAUGAAUUUUAUAGUAAUAGAAAUACAUGUCAUACCGAAAUAGAAUUUGUAACUUGCUAUCCUCUUGCCUAGCGGGCAAGGAUUUACCUCUGUGAAAAAGAUGAUUCAUUCGGAUCCGCAAAAAGAAUCUUAUUGGGAGGGAUAGCCACGAAUCUCAAAUAUAGAUCAUAAAGCGGACAUGCAUAAUAUAAAUAAAUAAAUAAAUAUAAAGUAAUGAAAGAGGCCAUAGAUUUUCAGACAGAUUUGAUACAAACCAAAAGCAGCAACCGAUAUAUAUUUUUAUAAGAUUUUAACAACAACAGAUAAAACCAUAAACCAAGUCACCAUGAAUGAGCAGCAAAAAUCCUUUGGACAAAAGGAAAAUUUGCUCCCAACCAAAUGGCUUAUACAUUAUUUUUACCACAAACAAAGCUUCUAUUACACAAGACAGACAGAGACAUAAUUAUAGACCUUGCACGCAUCCAUCCUUGAAAAUAAAUCAUUACAGAGGCCUGUUAUUUUGCUGCUUUCUUUUUUCAUAAUCUAUGGCUUUCAUCAAGCUUUUCAGCAGUUGCAUGGAUUACAUUUGCAGUUUGAUCCACAGCCGCAUCCAUGUCCUGAUUCAGUAGUGCUCAUCUCUGGUCCCUCAAAGGUCCUGCAAUAAUAAAAGUUAUU
rnacentral:lncRNA from 1 species